rnacentral:rRNA from 1 species
GUCUACGGCCAUGCCACCCUGAACAAGCCCGAUCCCGUCUGAUCUCGGAAGCUAAGCAGGGUCGGGCCUGGUUAGUACUUGGAUGGGAGACCACCUAGGAAGACCAGGUGCUGUAGGUG